CAAUAGCGUAUAUUAAAGUUGUUGCAGUUAAAAAGCUCGUAGUUGGAUUUCUGGUGGGAGCGAUCGGUCUGGCGCUUAGCGCGAGUACUUGCAUCGUCUCCGGCAAUCCUUGGGGAGAGUCUGUCUGGCAUUAGGUUGUCGGGCAGAGGAUCCUCAUCGUUUACUGUGAAAAAAUUAGAGUGUUCAAAGCAGGCUUAUGCCGUUGAAUAUAUUAGCAUGGAAUAAUAAGAUAGGACUUUGGUACUAUUUUGUUGGUUUGCGCACCAAAGUAAUGAUUAAUAGGGACAGUUGGGGGUAUUCGUAUUCCGUUGUCAGAGGUGAAAUUCUUGGAUUUACGGAAGACGAACUACUGCGAAAGCAUUUACCAAGGAUGUUUUCAUUA
rnacentral:rRNA from 1 species